AUAGCUGCUGGACCAAUCAGUGUUGUUCUCCUGGCUGUCCUAUCCCUCUCUGUCUUCCUGUGGAUCAGAAAGAGGAGGGCUUCCAGGGACUCGUCUGGACCAGACAACAGGGAACAGUGUGUACCUGAUCCGAGUGAGCCAGAGGAGCAGGCUGACCUUCAGUACGCCACCAUCCACGUCUCCAACAGCCAGGCAGAUCCUCUGUACUCCAACAUCAGAGCUGCUCCGCCCCUCAGACACAGGGAGCAACAGGAAGCCGUUGAGUACGCUGCCGUCAGCUUCAACAGUGGCAGUACUGCCCCGAGAACCAGAGGUCGGGACACUGGAGAGGAUCCAGCUGCUUUGUACAGCACAGUCAACAACCCCCGAUGAAAACAGGCAUUGCAUUUAUAGUCUGAUUAUUUUCCCCAAAAAAUGAUUUAAAUUAAUCAGGUAACCAUUGAUUUUUAUACAUUUUAUUUUAAGGAUGACCCUCUCCAAGAAUGUACAAAGAGACAAUUAUAAAUCUUCUAGAAACUUAAACAUAAUCCAGUGUUCAGUUAUUUUACUCUGUAUGAGUCAGCUGUAAAGAAUGAGUUAAGUAUUUCAUGAUUUAAUUUGUUAAAUUGUAUAUAUACUAUAAAAGUGACCUUUUAUGUGCGGUUUGAAUUAGUCUCUAACUGGUCUUCCUCCCAAACGUCCCCGUGCAGACACUAAAACAUACCUGAAGUAGUUGUUAAUGCAACAAGGGAUGUGAUCCCCAACUGGCUUCCCUCCUGCAAACACUGGAAGUUGUUUUUGUUGGAAAGCACGGUCAAGCCAACAAUGGCAAUGUUUUCAUAUUUCUUUUUAAAUUUCUUUUUUUAUGGAUAUAUUUGAUGGUGACGGUAGAGAAAAAGUCAGAAAAUGUGAGGAGAAAGUUAUAACAUGCAACAAAGGUUGCUGGCUGGAAUAAUACCUUUGACGUUGCGAUUAACUGAUUGGCAUCUUAAUCAUUAGGCCUUUAAACAUUUUCUGACAUGCAAAUUAGCACCAAAAACAAAUGACAGCAGAGGUCAGUCAUAAAGAGAAGACUUGGGUAGAAGUGUUCAGUCUUUAACAACGACUCUUCAAACUCCACUGACUAUAUUACAUCACUGUUGUCAGUGGCUUCAAAUCUUUUUGUAAUCAUUGGUGUGUUUUUAUGAAAGUCUUUUAAAUGUAAAGACACCAACUUCCUGUUCAUUUUAAACCAGUGUGCAUGAUGGGAUCACAGAGAGGCAGUGCUGACCUCAAAGUUUAAACUGUGACCUGGAAGGGCUGGAAGAUUUUUACCAGGGGACACAUUUCCCCUGAGAAGUAGAUUCUAAAUGACUGUAAAGUUACAACUUCUUAUUUUGCUGCUUUGCUAUUGUAGAGAACAUGUGUUUCAUGUGUAGUUUCCAGCUGUUGCUACUAGAUAUAAGUAUAGAGUUAUAUUUUACUAUUUUACUGAUAAUAGACCAUUUCUGUUUUCCUGCCAAGUGGAUUUCUGUAUAAAUAAUACUCAAAAUCUUUACCAUGUCAUUCUUCUUCUCUCUUUUUUUAACCAGUUCUAUCACAACUACCCUUAUUGUGAGUCAAAUAUCAAUUAUCAGUAUUAUUGUACUUAUUUUGUGAAUGAUUUCUUCUGCCUCACCUGCUCAUUACAAUCAUCUAUAUUGCUGUCUUAUUAUUACAUUAACAAUUGUUUGUACUUUCACCACUGCAUGUACUGCAUGUUGACUUUUGUACUUGUACUAUAUUGUUUUUUGUCUUGCUAAAAUAAAAUUUAAAACAAAAUGUUCAGUU